rnacentral:lncRNA from 1 species
UCAUAUAAUUCAAUCACUCAGUGCUCCGAUUACAUAAUCAAUAAUUCAUAAAUCAAUCUCUGAUUUAUUCCAUAGACUCACUUCUCAGUAUUCAGAAAUUAUCCAUUACUUUUCAACAACAAAGAAACAAAGAAACAAAAAGAUAGCACCAAGCUUAUUCCGGCUCAUGACUAUCACAGUCUAGUACUCAGACUAACUUCUACAACUCCUAUAUACUUACUCUCUAUUCCCCGAUUCUAACCGUAAUCAUAUAAUUAAUCACUUUUAAUAAUUAAGUUAAUCAUCCGUCUUCCUGAACUGACUAUUCUAUCGACUAUUAGUCUAUUUUA